rnacentral:rRNA from 1 species
UACGGAGGGUGCAAGCGUUGUCCGGAUUUAUUGGGUUUAAAGGGUGCGUAGGCGGUUCUUUUAAGUCUGGGGUGAAAGCCCGUUGCUCAACAACGGAACUGCCCUGGAAACUGGAGGACUUGAGUACAGACGAGGGUGGCGGAAUGGAUGCUGUAGCGGUGAAAUGCAUAGAUAGCAUCCAGAACCCCGAUUGCGAAGGCAGCUGCCUAGACUGUAACUGACGCUGAGGCACGAAAGCGUGGGGAGCGAACAGG